AUUGAACGCUGGCGGCAUGCCUUACACAUGCAAGUCGAACGGUAACGGGCCUUCGGGUGCCGACGAGUGGCGAACGGGUGAGUAAUAUAUCGGAACGUGCCCAGUAGUGGGGGAUAGCCCGGCGAAAGCCGGAUUAAUACCGCAUACGACCUACGGGUGAAAGGGGGGGAUCGCAAGACCUCUCGCUAUUGGAGCGGCCGAUAUCAGAUUAGGUAGUUGGUGGGGUAUAGGCCUACCAGGCCUGCGAUCUGUAGUUGGUCUGAGAGGACGACCAGCCACACUGGGACUGAGACACGGCCCAGACUCCUACGGGAGGCAGCAGUGGGGAAUUUUGGACAAUGGGGGCAACCCUGAUCCAGCAAUGCCGCGUGCAGGAAGAAGGCCUUCGGGUUGUAAACUGCUUUUGUCAGGGAAGAAAUCCUCUGGGUUAAUACCUCGGGGGGAUGACGGUACCUGAAGAAUAAGCACCGGCUAACUACGUGCCAGCAGCCGCCGUAAGAC
rnacentral:rRNA from 1 species